rnacentral:rRNA from 1 species
GACGAACGCUGGCGGCGUGCCUAAUACAUGCCAGUCGAACGAGAGCGACCGGUGCUUGCACUGGUCAAUCUAGUGGCGAACGGGUGAGUAACACGUGGGUAACCUGCCCAUCAGAGGGGGAUAACAUCCGGAAACGGAUGCUAAAACCGCAUAGGUCUUCGAACCGCAGGGUUGGAAGAGGAAAAGAGGCGCAAGCUUCUGCUGAUGGAUGGACCCGCGGUGCAGUAGCUAGUUGGUGAGGUAACGGCUCACCAAGGCCGUGAUGCAUAGCCGACCUGAGGGGGUGGUAGGCCACAUUGGGAGUGAGACACGGCCCAAACGCCUGCGGGAGGGAGCAGUAGGGAAUCUUUGGCAAUAGACGGAAGUCUGACGGAGCAACGCCGCGUGAGUGAAGAAGGUUUUCGGAUCGUAAAACUCUGUUGUUAGAGAAGAACAAGUGCUAGAGUAACUGUUAGCGCCUUGACGGUAUCUAACCAGAAAGCCACGGCUAACUACGUG